CAAUAGCGUAUAUUUAAGUUGCUGCAGUUAAAAAGCUCGUAGUUGGAUUUCGGGUGGGAAUGGCCGGUCCGCCGUUUCGGUGUGCACUUGCUACGCCCACCUUGCUGCCGGGGACGUGCUCUUGAGUUCACGCUCGGGACACGGAGUCGGCGAGGUUACUUUGAGUAAAUUAGAGUGUUCAAAGCAGGCCUACGCUCUGAAUACAUUAGCAUGGAAUAACACGAUAGGACUCUGGCCUAUCUUGUUGGUCUGUAGGACCGGAGUAAUGAUUAAGAGGGACCGUCGGGGGCAUUCGUAUUUCAUUGUCAGAGGUGAAAUUCUUGGAUUUAUGAAAGACGAACUACUGCGAAAGCAUUUGCCAAGGAUGUUUUCAUUAA
rnacentral:rRNA from 1 species